AUUCUAUAUAAGUUCAGAAAUUCUACAACUAAAUAAUAGAAAGGUAGCCAAAUACCGGCCUUCAAAGCUUCCUCGUAAAGGCUUACUCGAUCUUGACUAGGAAGAGCUAUUCGAUCCCCGAGAACGGUGACCUCCAGCCCGAACUUGGUUGGGACUUGGUAUUUCAAUCUAAUGAUCUCCAAAUCCUCUUAGGUGAGGACGGAGUUCAUCCUAAACGGACUGAAGUCCGGGAUCUCGCUUUCUUUAGGUCCACCUGAAGAACAAGCUACCUCAAACCCAGGGUCUGCGCC
rnacentral:lncRNA from 1 species